UACAGAGGUAGCAAGCGUUAAUCGGAAUUACUGGGCGUAAAGGGUGAGUAGGUGGUAAAUUAAGUUAUAUGUGAAAUCUUUGAGCUUAACUCGGAAAGUGCAUAUAAUACUGGUUUACUAGAGUACUGUAGAGGGCGAUGGAAUUUCCGGUGUAGCGGUGAAAUGCGUAGAUAUCGGAAGGAACAUAAGUGGCGAAGGCGAUCGUCUGGACAGAUACUGACACUAAGACACGAAAGCGUGGGGAGCAAACAGG
rnacentral:rRNA from 1 species